UGAGUUAAAGCCCUCUGGUUUGGGUGUUUAGUUGUUAACUAAAGUUUUGUGGGAUCGAGGCCCGCUAAUUC
rnacentral:tRNA from 1 species